GUAUCACCCUUUGUUAGGUAGACAUGAACUUUUCCUGCACAAAGCCUUGCUUUUAGAGAAUGCCCAAUAAGGCAAGAAAAAGCAUAGUAACUUGUGCUUUGAGAGCUCAAUAUUUGUAUCUUAUCAGUACAGAAGAAAUAUUUCUGUGUAACUUGAUCUUCUGUCUAGUACUUGUCUUAUAGGUAACCAACACUGAAAACUUUGUAGUGAUG
rnacentral:lncRNA from 1 species